ACCAAGUCCGGAGGUGUUAACACGUCGAAAUGCNAAUUCGGAGACGCCCCGUUUAGGUGCCAGGACUUCUCCCGGUUU
rnacentral:tRNA from 1 species